CUGAAUCUGGGUAACAGAGUAACAGUACAAUUUGGAGCAGUGGCUUCCUGGAAUCAAUACGUAAACUCAGAGAUUGUGUCUAGCUUUGCAAGCUCAUGGGCAACAUUGUUACAGGCGCGAAAGUAUAAAAGCAACUGAUCAAACUGACAGACUCAUGAUCCAUCUAACAUACAAAUAUACAUGAUGUACCGAUAUGUGAAUAAGUGACAAGUUAACCAUUUAGUCUUAGUGCAAACGAUCCACGGCUAGGAGUAUUGGAAUGUGACAAAAUUGGCAGCUGAAAGAGGAGGCGACGGCAACAUAAUAUGCGGCGACAGGUCCCUGGCAGCAGCCACAGCUGAAAUGGCUGCGGCAGGCCCAGGCACACAAUUCCGGCAUGAGACUAGCAGCGCCCCACACCGGCACUAGGUGACAAUGUUCCAAAUCGUCCAUUAUGCACCCAACAUUUCGUGCACUUGGCUUGUAAGCUUCUUACCUGCUCAAGAUACAAGAAAGUGCUAUCAAAACUGCCACAAACCUGACAAUAUGCGACUAUCAUUUAACAUAAAUACGACAAAUAUGUCAAGAUGGUCUUUGAAAUAUCUUACAAACUGGUUAUCAUUCACAGAGGGCAGCCGCAGUGAUUCUGCAUUAGCGCAUUCUUUCAGUACAAGUCUCAAAUCACUCUUAGAUAAGACAAGACAUUACAUACCAUCCCAACCAUUCUUGGAGGAAUAGUACAAGACAAGAGUGAAGCACACCAUUUCGUCCCCAUAAUUUUUGCUACUAAUGGUCGUCAAACAUCUAGUAACUGAGUUAGGAAUCAAAUACAUAUGACGAAAUUCAGCAGAAAAUUAUGUAAUGAUUUGUUCUCAGCUAUUUAUUCAGCAUUUUGAAUGUCAGGUUUGGCAGGAAGAGCAAAAACCAUUAUUACUGUACUUAAGAAAACAGAAUGCCAGACAACAUGCUGUCCCAGUAGGAUAAGAGAUGUGUCUAAACGGUGACAAUGCAAAGAAUAUUGUACUUACCUUGCAAAAGUUUAGAUCAG
rnacentral:lncRNA from 1 species